rnacentral:rRNA from 1 species
GACGAACGCUGGCGGCGUGCUUAACACAUGCAAGUCGAACGCUGAAGCUCAGCUUUUGUUGGGUGGCUGAGUGGCGAACGGGUGAGUAACACGUGAGUAACCUGCCUCCUUCUUUGGGAUAAUGCCAGGAAACGGGUGCUAAUAUUGGAUAUUCACUGGUCUUCGCAUGGGGGUUGGUGGAAAGGGCUUUUCUGGUGGGGGAUGGGCUCGCGGCCUAUCGGCUGGUUGGUGGGGUGAUGGCCUACCAAGGCUUUGACGGGUAGCCGGCCUGAGAGGGUGACCGGUCACAUAGAGACGGAGAUGCGGCCUAGGCUAGGACGGGGUGCAGCAGAGGGGAAUAUUGGACAAUGCGCGCAAGAGUGAUGCAGCGACGGCGCAGAAGGGAUUGAGGCUUUAGGGUUGUGAACCUGUGUCAGACAAGGACAAGCCGCAACAAUGGUUGUUGUGAGGGUAGUGGGUGAAGAAGCGCCGGCUAACUACGUG